UGGGACCUUGUCGUCACAGCUGGUAUGGCCAACCUCAAUGUCUCGGUCGACGAGACUGUGUCGCCCUGCAUCUCUCUAAAUGAAGUGCGCCAUCUCCUAAAUAAAACCGUGCUGGAGACUUUCUUCUGGGUCCCUAAAAUUAACUGGAAGAAACGCCCCACACCCGAAGGACCGAAUGGCCAACUGUCAGAUAGUCAAUACCGACUUGUGGCUUAUCGAGUCAUUCUGGAGUGGGCCCUCAAAGGUCAACCACUGGGACGAGGAAAUCGCCUUGCAUUACCCAGUUGCGUGGUGUGGGCUGUUAUGGAUGCGUUCCCAUCCCCCACUGGACAGUAUGCUGGGUUUAAACCCAGUGAGAUAGAGGAAUUAUUCUGAAUUCAUUAUUUUUAUUCUUAUUCCAAUGUAUAUCUUACCCUUCUGUUCCUACCUUCUGUUCCUACCUAACUGCAUUGCGUUUACUUUUUAAUUUCUUCUCAAUAAAAAAACUUUUGUUCAAAAA